rnacentral:rRNA from 1 species
GACGAACGCUGGCGGCGUGCUUAACACAUGCAAGUGGAGCGACGAACCAGGGCUUGCCCUGGGGCAGAGCCGCGAACGGGUGAGUAACACGUGGGUAACGUGCCCCAAUGAUCGGGACAACCCGGGGAAACCCGGGCUAAUACCGAAUGUGCUCCCCUCACACCAGUGAGGGAUGGAAAGGAAGCUUCGGCCUCCGCAUUGGGAUCGGCCCGCGGCCCAUUAGCUUGUUGGUGAGGUAACGGCUCACCAAGGCUGCGAUGGGUAGCUGGUCUGAGAGGACGAUCAGCCACACUGGGACUGAGACACGGCCCAGACUCCUACGGGAGGCAGCAGUGGGGAAUCUUGCGCAAUGCGCGAAAGCGUGACGCAGCAACGCCGCGUGGGGGAAGAAGGCCUUCGGGUUGUAAACCCCUUUCAGGAGGGACGAAGCGUGGGCGGUUAAUAGCCGAUCCACGUGACGGUACCUCCAGAAGAAGCCCCGGCUAACUACGCGCCAGCCGCCGCAGUAAUAC